UACGGGGGGGGCAAGCGUUGUUCGGAAUUACUGGGCGUAAAGGGUUCGUAGGUGGCCAACUUAGUCAGACGUGAAAUCCCUCAGCUUAACUGGGGAACUGCGUCUGAUACUGUCGUGCUAGAGUGCAGAAGGGGCAAUCGGAAUUCUUGGUGUAGCGGUGAAAUGCGUAGAUAUCAAGAGGAACACCUGAGGUGAAGACGGGUUGCUGGGCUGACACUGACGCUGAGGCACGAAAGCUAGGGUAGCAAACGGG
rnacentral:rRNA from 1 species